ACACGUAGGGGGCGAGCGUUGUUCGGAAUCAUUGGGCGUAAAGGGCGUGCAGGCGGUCCUGCAAGUCCGGCGUGAAAGACCCCGGCCCAACCGGGGGGACGCGCUGGAAACUGCAGGGCUUGAGUACAGGAGGGGAUGCCGGAAUUCCAGGUGUAGGGGUGAAAUCUGUAGAUAUCUGGAAGAACACCAAUGGCGAAGGCGGGCAUGUGGCCAUGUGCUGACGCUGAGACGCGAGGGUGCGGGGAGCAAACAGGUAUAGAUACCCUGGUAGUCCGCACAGUAAACGAUGUGCACCAGGUGGCGGGGGGUCGACCCCCGGUACCGUAGCUAACGCAUUAAGUGCACCGCCUGGGGAGUAUGCUCGCAAGGGUGAAACUCAAAUGAAUUGGCGGGG
rnacentral:rRNA from 1 species